rnacentral:rRNA from 1 species
ACGCUCGACACCUACGAGAGGCAGCAGUGGGGAAUAUUGCACAAUGGGGGAAACCCUGAUGCAGCGACGCCGCGUGAGCGAAGAAGUAUUUCGGUAUGUAAAGCUCUAUCAGCAGGGAAGAAAAUGACGGUACCUGACUAAGAAGCACCGGCUAAAUACGUGCCAGCAGCCGCGGUAAUCUGAGCGGGCUGGCAAGGC